rnacentral:tRNA from 1 species
UCCCUGGUGGCACAAUGGUUAAGUACUUGGCUCCUAACCAAAAGGUUGGUGGUUCAAACCCACCCAAUGGCU